CACGAAGUUAGCCGGUGCUUAUUCUUUGGGUACCGUCAGAACAAUCGGGUAUUAACCGACUGCUUUUCUUUCCCAACAAAAGGGCUUUACAACCCGAAGGCCUUCUUCACCCACGCGGUAUGGCUGGAUCAGGCUUGCGCCCAUUGUCCAAUAUUCCCCACUGCUGCCUCCCGUAGGAGUCUGGACCGUGUCUCAGUUCCAGUGUGGCUGAUCAUCCUCUCAGACCAGCUACGGAUCGUCGCCUUGGUGGGCCUUUACCCCGCCAACUAGCUAAUCCGACAUCGGCUCAUUCAAUCGCGCAAGGUCCGAAGAUCCCCUGCUUUCACCCGUAGGUCGUAUGCGGUAUUAGCGUAAGUUUCCCUACGUUAUCCCCCACGAAAAGUAGAUUCCGAUGUAUUCCUCACCCGUCCGCCACUCGCCACCCAGAGAGCAAGCUCUCCUGUGCUGCCGUUCGACUUGCAUGUGUUAGGCCUACCGCCAGCGUUCACUCUGAGCCAGGAUCAAACUCU
rnacentral:rRNA from 1 species